rnacentral:tRNA from 1 species
GGAGGGUAGCUCAGUGGUAGAAUGUGUGCUUAGCACGUACGAAGUCCUGGGUUCAACCCCAGUGCCUCCG